GCGAGGUGACCCAAUCAAGGUGGUGGAAUUCUGAAAUUUCCAUGACUGCAGGUGCUGGGCGAGCAAUCAGGGAGCCUGGCAGUCGGGCUGCUCAACAGGCCCAAGAAGCUCAACUCGCUGAAUGAGACCUAAAGCAUACCGGAUCCGUGUAUGGACGCCCCUUCCCACUGCCAGGCCUCGGCCUCGAUCCUCAAACUGAAACCCUCUGUGAAAGCUCUCCUCCACAAGUGUACUGAAACUCUACCAGAUACUCCGGCACUACAAGUGUAGAAUCGAACACAAACCAUGAUCGUUACGCUGGAUCCGAGGGGUGGGGUCCAUAAAAGUCGAACUGGAAGUCCUUGGAGUGUCCGGUCCCCGGGAUGGCUUCUUGUAGUCAAAGCAUACCUUGGUUGCUCAGUUCAGGAGCUUACCGGUAUGAAUAUUUUCGGUCUGGUUGCCGUUUUUGAGCUCAUACUCUUAUUGUUCCUGCGGCCAAAAAAUGACCUGGCCAU
rnacentral:lncRNA from 1 species